AGCCUGUGUAGAUUAGUUUGCCUGACUUAUUUAAUGAUUUUUUUUGUUAACCUUUUACCAGUUUUUGUUCAGUGGCUUCGCUCCCUUUUUGUAUCUUGUUUUUCACGGCAGCCUUUUGUUGAAUAUUUUUUCUGUGCUUUGGGGCCUAAAUACGCCGCCAAACCCGUGACAUUUGACAUUUUAAAAAUGGGAUUACCAUACAGGAUCUAAAUGUGAUACUUUUCCAUGUAUACAGUCCCAUCAAUCGAUAUUAUCUGUGUGAUACCACUGAUUUCAUUUCCCAUCCGAUACUGAGUAAAAUUAGGCUGCUGCAAAACUUUGGAAGACUCGUGAAGGUGCCUCAGGGGUCAUGAAGGUGCCUCAAGGGUCAUGAAGGUGCCUCAAGGGUCAUGAAGGUGCCUCAAGGACCAGUACACAGGAGUAUAAACUACUUGGAGCCACAACGGAGGGAUAAAAGAGCCGCAGGUUGCAGACCCCUGCUGUAGGUGCACAUGUCUAUGUGCGUACGAGACAGCCGAAUCGAAGGCUGAGAGUGGCUCUGUGCGGGAUUAGACUCUGCAGGGGGUCGGCUUCAGGACGGGCGGGGCAUUGUCCUUCUCCUAACCCCAUCUCUGCUCAACCUUUCCACGCAGAAUGCAUUGUGAAACGUGCUUCUUUUAGGACGGACAACAGGAGCUCCCCUGCUGUGCACCAAUCCCUUUCUCACAGGUGAUUGCUCAGGGAAUAUUGAUUAAGGCAAAGAUUUGUUGAAGAAAAGUCACUGCUUAAGCCUCCUGGGAUGUGAAG